ACUCAAAGGAAUUGACGGGGGCCCGCACAAGCAGCGGAGCGUGUGGUUUAAUUCGACGCAACGCGCAGCACCUUACCCAGACUUGACAUGCACCUGCACAGUGGGGAAACCCACUCGCCUUCGAGGGUGGUGCACAGAUGCUGCAUGGCUGUCGUCAGCUCGUGUCGUGAGAUGUUGGGUUAAGUCCCGCAACGAGCGCAACCCCCGCGGCCAGUUACACGUCUCUGGUCGGACAGCCCUUCGGGGAGGAAGGCGGGGAUGACGUCAAGUCCGCAUGGCUCUUACGUCUGGGGCGACACACACGCUACAAUGGCGCCGACAGUGCGCAGCGACUGAGCAAUCAGAAGCGAAUCGCCAAACGGCGCCCCAGUGCAGAUCGGGGGCUGCAACUCGCCCCCGUGAAGGCGGAGUUGCUAGUAACCGCGUAUCAGCCUUGGCGCGGUGAAUACGUACCCGGGCCUUGUACACACCGCCCGU
rnacentral:rRNA from 1 species